GACGAACGCUGGCGGCGUGCUUAACACAUGCAAGUCGAACGGUGAAAGCGGAGCUUGCUCCGCUGGAUCAGUGGCGAACGGGUGAGUAACACGUGGGCAACCUGCCCCUCACUUCGGGAUAACUCCGGGAAACCGGGGCUAAUACCGGAUAUGACCUCCUUGGGCAUCCUUGGAGGUGGAAAGUUUUUCGGUGAGGGAUGGGCCCGCGGCCUAUCAGCUUGUUGGUGAGGUAGUGGCUCACCAAGGCGACGACGGGUAGCCGGCCUGAGAGGGGGGCCGGCCACACGGGGACUGAGACACGGCCCAGACUCCUACGGGAGGCAGCAGUGGGGAAUAUUGCGCAACGGGCGAAAGCCUGACGCAGCAACGCCGCGUGCGGGAUGACGGCCUUCGGGUUGUAAACCGCUUUCAGCAGGGAAGAAGCCGCAAGGUGACGGUACCUGCAGAAGAAGCACCGGCUAACUACGUGCCAGCCGCCGCCGUAA
rnacentral:rRNA from 1 species